GUCUUGGUACUACAUGUACAGGAUAGGUGGGAGGCUUUGAAACCAGGACGCCAGUUUUGGCGGAGCCAUCCUUGGGAUACCACCCUUGUAGUACUGGGACUCUAACCAUAGGCCAUGAAUCUGGUCUUGGGACACUGUCAGGUGGGCAGUUUGACUGGGGCGGUCGCCUCCCAACAGGUCACGGAGGCGCUCAAAGGUUCUCUCAGUACGGUCGGAAAUCGUACGUAGGUGGUAAAGGCAACAGAGAGACUGAUUGCAAGACAUACAGGGCGAGCAAGGAUCAAAAUCGGACUGAGUGAUCCGGUGGUUCUGCGUGGAAGGGCCAUCG
rnacentral:rRNA from 1 species